rnacentral:snRNA from 1 species
AUCGCUUCUCGGCCUUUUGGCUAAGAUCAAGUGGAGUAUAUUUUAAAAAAGAAGAAAAUGAAUUUCAAAUUCAAACUGUAGCCUCUCAGAAAAUUUUGCCCUUAUUGUAAUUCUAGUAACAAGAAUUUCCCUUCAUCUCAGGCCUACAAAUCUUAG